GGACCCAUAGCUCAGCUGGAUAGAGCGCUGCCCUCCGAAGGCAGAGGCCAGAGGUUCGAAUCCUCUUGGGUCCGCCA
rnacentral:tRNA from 23 species